GCCAGACUCCUACGGGAGGCAGCAGUGGGGAAUAUUGCACAAUGGGGGAAACCCUGAUGCAGCGACGCCGCGUGAGUGAAGAAGUAUUUCGGUAUGUAAAGCUCUAUCAGCAGGAACGAGACAAGACGGUACCUGACUAAGAAGCCCCGGCUAACUACGUGCCAGCAGCCGCGGUAAUACGUAGGGGGCAAGCGUUAUCCGGAAUCACUGGGUGUAAAGGGAGCGUAGACGGCUGUGCAAGCCUGAAGUGAAAGGCGGGGGCCCAACCCCUGGACUGCUUUGGGAACUGUACGGCUGGAGUGCAGGAGAGGUAAGUGGAAUUCCUAGUGUAGCGGUGAAAUGCGUAGAUAUCAGGAGGAACAUCGGUGGCGUAAGCGCUUUACUGGGCCGUAAUUGACACUGAGGAACGAAAGCCAGGGUAGCAAAUGGGAUUAGAUACCCGAGUAC
rnacentral:rRNA from 1 species